UACAGAGGGUGCAAGCGUUAAUCGGAGUUACUGGGCGUAAAGGGCGCGUAGGCGGAUAUUUAAGUCGGAUGUGAAAUCCCUGGGCUUAACCUAGGAAUUGCAUUCGAUACUGAGUACUCUUGAGUAUGGUAGAGGAAAGUGGAAUUCUCGGUGUAGUGGUAAAAUACGUAGAUAUCGAGAAGAACACCGGUGGCGAAGGCGGCUUUCUGGACCAAUACUGACGCUGAGGCGCGAAAGCGUGGGGA
rnacentral:rRNA from 1 species